UACGUAGGGGGCAAGCGUUGUCCGGAUUUAUUGGGCGUAAAGAGCUCGUAGGCGGUGUGUCGCGUCGGCCGUGAAAACCUGCAGCUUAACUGUGGGCUUGCGGUCGAUACGGGCAUCACUGGAGUUCGGCAGGGGAGACUGGAAUCCUGGUGUAGCGGUGAAAUGCGCAGAUAUCAGGAGGAACACCGGUGGCGAAGGCGGGUCUCUGGGCCGAUACUGACGCUGAGGAGCGAAAGCGUGGGGAGCGAACAGG
rnacentral:rRNA from 1 species